rnacentral:rRNA from 1 species
AUGAACUGGUGCAAUUUCAUAGUUGGUUUCCUUCACACUUCACUAUCCAAUAAGAUGUACAACAAAGGAUGCCGACUGCAUCUGAUGCUCAUGUAUGUCGAUAAACUUGACAUCAGCACUGUCAACCUUAACCCGUUUGGCGGUCUGCCUCCAUCACACAAGUUUGCUGCAUGGGCUUGGACUGAUGCUGCAAUCAAGGUUGUUCUCUCUGCGGACAGGAAGCCCGAUGGGACGUUUGGCAAGCUACAGCUUAUGGGAGAACAGAACGUUGAUUACAACUUAUUUGGGGGACCCGCCAACUUCAACAAAUGGAUGGAUGGUCACACAAACGAUUCAUGCCCUUCAACUGCGCGAAGUAACAUUGAGAAUCUUGUUGGACAGUUUGCGUCCGGUAUGACCAACAUUCUUGGGAACGUUGUACGGGGUUGGACUGCUAUGUCGGCUGGCGACGGAGAUGAAGUUGCAAACCAGUUCCGUUCUUUUGUUUGCGGUGGCACUUCUCAUCCAACUGGAUCUAGGGGCAGAUACGACCACAACGAUUCGCAAGAGAUACCCCCCAGCGAUGAAGAUUUAUCAAUUGAUGACAGUGACUAUGACGAUGAUGACCAGCAAGAUGACACAUGUAACGAUGGCAAUAACAGAAUGGACGACACUGAGCAUGACACGUUGCAUGAGGAUAGUCAUGGAGGUGCCGAAACAUCCACUGGACAGGGAUAG